rnacentral:rRNA from 1 species
UACGUAGGGUGCAAGCGUUAAUCGGAAUUACUGGGCGUAAAGCGUGCGCAGGCGGUUGUGCAAGACAGAUGUGAAAUCCCCGGGCUUAACCUGGGAACUGCAUUUGUGACUGCAUGGCUAGAGUGCGGCAGAGGGGGAUGGGAAUUCCGCGUGUAGCAGUGAAUGCGUAGAUAUGCGGAGGACACCGAUGGCGAAGGGCAAUCCCCUGGGCCUGCACUGACGCUCAUGCACGAAAGCUAGGGGAGCAAACAGG